rnacentral:lncRNA from 1 species
UCUUUUUUAGAUCAGUAUUACUUUAAUUCCUUCUUUCUUUUAGCAGUAUUUCUCUAUAUCUGUGAAAUAAUAGUUCACUGACCUAAAUCUUGAACCUUCAGUGAGGAUGUUUAUCUAGUUAUAAUAAUUGAAGCAUUCUUUCUUAUUUCGUAUGUAUGAUAUAUUUUACCCUUGCAUAAUGCCUUCCUUAUUGGUGAGAAGAGGGAUUUGCCCGUUCAAGAUAAAAAGGAUGGGACAGUAUGAGCUGUAUCAAAGUGAGUCAGUGCUGCUCCCUGGCUGGGGAAACUACCUGGGAAAUUAUUGAUUAAAGGGGAAAAGUGAGAGAGCUUAUUGGUCCUGGCUCAUCAAGGAACUGAUUUGUUUGGCUCUCGAAGCUGUACAAAUGAGCAGUGACUGAUCAAACUACCAUCAUUUAGGUCAUAUCAAGAGACAGCAAACGGGAAGGACACAUGCCAGAAAGAUCCACUACAAAUUUGUUUUGUUAAAUUGUUAGUUUACUUUUUCCACUGGCGAGAGAAGAGAUAUGUUGUCCAGUCAAUUUUUCCAUCUCUCUUGAGUCAGGGAAACCAAAUCAGGUACAAAUGCCUCUUGUAUUGUGUCUCAACUCAGAGAAGGUGUUGACUAGGGAGAAUGUUCACAAGUGUUCCUGUGUUGCCAAAUAAUUGUCAACCAGUUCUAGUAAUCAUUGUGCCAGAUGAACCAUGACCAAAGUGGCAAUUGCUGAUAGACCCUGAAUUUUGGGAAGGACCUUUUGAUGCAGUAACUAGGUCUUUGCCCAGCUUACAUCACAAAUCAACAAGCAGGCCUGAUGUCUGCAUCAGAAAGGAUAUAUGAAGUUAUGUGACAGUACAAUGCCACCUGCACGUCCAGAACUUCUUUCCUCAAAACUUCUAAGGAAACUACGCCAUUUGCUCAAAAUUUAUGAUUUUUGGACCUUUAUUCAGCCCCUCUUGGUCACCUUCUUAUUUUGUGAAGAACAUAAAUCGUCUUAUUGCCAAACAGUUAGUUUGCAUAAUUUUACAAUUACUGACUUUCAGUAUUUUGCUGCUUUGAUGACUCCACUUGAUGGGUACAGUAUGACAACAGAAGUGCUCCUGAAUUUUUUCAGAGGGAUAUGUCCUAAAUUCAUUUGA